rnacentral:rRNA from 1 species
GAUGAACGCUGGCGGCGUGCCUAAUACAUGCAAGUCGAGCGAACGGACGAGAAGCUUCCUCCUCUGAUGUUAGCGCCGGACGGGUGAGUCACACGUGGAUAACCCACCUCUAAGACACGGAUAACUUCGGGAAACCGGAGCUAAUACCGGAUAAUAUUUUGAACCGCAUGGUUCAAACGUGAAAGACGGUCUUGCUGUCACUUAUAGAUGGAUCCGCGCUUCAUUAGCUAGUUGGUGAGGUAACGGCUUACCAACGCAACGAUGCAUAGCCGACCUGAGAGGGUGGUCGGCCACACUGGAACUGAGACACGGUCCAGACUCCGACGGGAGGCAGCAGUAGGGAAUCUUCCGCAAUGGGCGAAAGCCUGACGGAGCAACGCCGCGUGAGUGAUGAAGGUCUUCGGAUCGUAAAACUCUGUUAUUAGGAAAGAACAUAUGUGUAUGUAUCUGGGCACAUCUUGACGGUACCUAAACAGAAAGCCACGGCUAACUACGUG